rnacentral:rRNA from 1 species
UCAGGACGAACGCUGGCGGCGUGCUUAACACAUGCAAGUCGAACGAUGAACCACUUCGGUGGGGAUUAGUGGCGAACGGGUGAGUAACACGUGGGCAAUCUGCCCUGCACUCUGGGACAAGCCCUGGAAACGGGGUCUAAUACCGGAUACUGACCCUCGCAGGCAUCUGCGAGGUUCGAAAGCUCCGGCGGUGCAGGAUGAGCCCGCGGCCUAUCAGCUUGUUGGUGAGGUAAUGGCUCACCAAGGCGACGACGGGUAGCCGGCCUGAGAGGGCGACCGGCCACACUGGGACUGAGACACGGCCCAGACUCCUACGGGAGGCAGCAGUGGGGAAUAUUGCACAAUGGGCGAAAGCCUGAUGCAGCGACGCCGCGUGAGGGAUGACGGCCUUCGGGUUGUAAACCUCUUUCAGCAGGGAAGAAGCGAAAGUGACGGUACCUGCAGAAGAAGCGCCGGCUAACUACGUGCCAGCAGCCGCGGUAAUACGUAGGGCGCAAGCGUUGUCCGGAAUUAUUGGGCGUAAAGAGCUCGUAGGCGGCUUGUCGCGUCGGUUGUGAAAGCCCGGGGCUUAACCCCGGGUCUGCAGUCGAUACGGGCAGGCUAGAGUUCGGUAGGGGAGAUCGGAAUUCCUGGUGUAGCGGUGAAAUGCGCAGAUAUCAGGAGGAACACCGGUGGCGAAGGCGGAUCUCUGGGCCGAUACUGAC